rnacentral:rRNA from 1 species
CCUACGGCGUCAGCAGUGAGGAAUAUUGGUCAAUGGCCGGAAGGCUGAACCAGCCAUGCCGCGUGAAGGUCCGUGCCCUAUGGGCGUUAAACUUCUUUUGUGCGGGAGCAAUAAUGGUCACGUGUGGCCAGACGAGAGUACCGUACGAAUAAGCAUCGGCUAACUCCGUGCCAGCAGCCGCGGUAAUACGGGGGGUGCAAGCGUUAUCCGGAUUUAUUGGGUUUAAAGGGUGCGUAGGCUGUGAGGUAAGUCAGCUGUGAAAUCCCCGCGCUCAACGUGGGAACUGCCUUUGAAACUGGCAAACGGGAGUGUGUGAGAGGAUAGUGGAAUUCCAGGUGUAGGAGUGAAAUCCGUAGAUAUCUGGAGGAACAUCAGUGGCGAAGGCGACUAUCUGGCACAUAACUGACGCUGAGGAGCGAAAGCGUGGGUAGCAAACAGGAUUAGAUACCCUAGUAGUC